rnacentral:rRNA from 1 species
UACGUAGGGUGCGAGCGUUAAUCGGAAUUACUGGGCGUAAAGCGUGCGCAGGCGGUCUUGUAAGACGGUCGUGAAAUCCCUGGGCUUAACCUAGGAACUGCGAUUGUGACUGCAAGGCUAGAGUGUGUCAGAGGGGGGUGGAAUUCCACGUGUAGCAGUGAAAUGCGUAGAGAUGUGGAGGAACACCGAUGGCGAAGGCAGCCCCCUGGGAUAACACUGACGCUCAUGCACGAAAGCGUGGGGAGCAAACAGGAUUAGAUACCCUGGUAGUCCACGCCCUAAACGAUGUCAACUGGUUGUUGGGUGGGUAACCACUUAGUAACGAAGCUAACGCGUGAAGUUGACCGCCUGGGGAGUACGGUCGCAAGAUUAAA